UACGGAGGGUGCAAGCGUUAUCCGGAUUCACUGGGUUUAAAGGGUGCGUAGGAGGGCAGGUAAGUCAGUGGUGAAAUCUCCGAGCUUAACUUGGAAACUGCCGUUGAUACUAUCUGUCUUGAAUAUUGUGGAGGUGAGCGGAAUAUGUCAUGUAGCGGUGAAAUGCUUAGAUAUGACAUAGAACACCAAUUGCGAAGGCAGCUCGCUACACAUAUAUUGACUCUGAGGCACGAAAGCGUGGGGAUCAAACAG
rnacentral:rRNA from 1 species